rnacentral:rRNA from 1 species
GACGAACGCUGGCGGCACGCCUAACACAUGCAAGUCGAACGGAGAUGAGAACUUCGGUUCUCUGAUCAGUGGCGGACGGGUGAGUAACACGUGAGCAACCUGCCUUUCAGAGGGGGACAACAGCUGGAAACGACUGCUAAUACCGCAUAACGUCAUUUUAGGGCAUCCUUUAAUGACCAAAGAUUUAUCGCUGAAAGAUGGGCUCGCGUCUGAUUAGAUAGUUGGUGAGGUAACGGCUCACCAAGUCGACGAUCAGUAGCCGGACUGAGAGGUUGAACGGCCACAUUGGGACUGAGCCACGGCCCAG